rnacentral:rRNA from 1 species
CAGGCUCCGAAUUCGCCCUUCCUACGGGAGGCAGCAGUGGGGAAUCUUGCGCAAUGGGCGAAAGCCUGACGCAGCGACGCCGCGUGCGGGAAGAAGGCCUUCGGGUUGUAAACCGCUUUCGGUGGGGACGAAGCCACUCGGGUUAAUAGCCCAGAGGGUGACGGUACCCAAAGAAGAAGCCCCGGCUAACUACGUGCCAGCAGCCGCGGUAAUAAGGGCGAAUUCGACCCAGCUUUCU